rnacentral:rRNA from 1 species
UACGUAGGGGGCAAGCGUUGUCCGGAUUUAUUGGGCGUAAAGCGAGCGCAGGCGGUUCCUUAAGUCUGAUGUGAAAGCCCACGGCUCAACCGUGGAAGGUCAUUGGAAACUGGGGAACUUGAGUGCAGAAGAGGAGAGUGGAAUUCCAUGUAUAGCGGUGAAAUGCGUAGAUAUAUGGAGGAACACCAGUGGCGAAGGCGACUCUCUGGUCUGUAACUGACGCUGAGGCUCGAAAGCGUGGGGAGCAAACAGGAUUAGAUA